AACGCGAAGAACCUUACCCGGGCUUGAACUACAGAUGGUAAGUCCCAAGAAACUGGGGCUGACCCGCAAGGGAGUCUGCAGAGGUGCUGCAUGGUUGUCGUCAGCUCGUGUCGUGAGAUGUUGGGUUAAGUCCCGCAACGAGCGCAACCCCUGUGUCCUGUUGCCACCCCUUAACUGGGAGCACUCUGGACAGACUGCCUCGCUUCAACGAGGAGGAAGGUGGGGAUGACGUCAAGUCAGUAUGGCCCUUACGGCCAGGGCUGCACACGUACUACAAUGCCCGGCACAAAGGGAAGCAAGACUGUAAAGUGGAGCAAAUCCCCUAAAACCGGGCCCAGUUCAGAUUGUCGUCUGCAACUCGACGGCAUGAAGCUGGAAUCGCUAGUAAUGGCGCAUCAGCUACGGCGCCGUGAAUACGUUCCCGGGCCUUGUACACACCGCGCAUA
rnacentral:rRNA from 1 species